rnacentral:rRNA from 1 species
UACGAAGGGGGCUAGCGUUGCUCGGAAUUACUGGGCGUAAAGCGCACGUAGGCGGUCAGUCAAGUCGGGUGUGAAAGCCCUGGGCUCAACCUGGGAAUGGCAUUUGGGACUGCAAGGCUGGAGUUUGGCAGAGGAGACUGGAAUUCCUGGUGUAGCAGUGAAAUGCGUAGAUAUCAGGAGGAAUACCGAUGGCGAAGGCAGGUCUCUGGGCUAUAACUGACGCUCAUGCACGAAAGCGUGGGGAGCAAACAGG